rnacentral:rRNA from 1 species
UACGGAGGGUGCAAGCGUUAUCCGGAUUUACUGGGUUUAAAGGGUGUGUAGGCGGAUAUUUAAGUCAGUGGUGAAAUCUCCGGGCUCAACCCGGAAACUGCCAUUGAUACUAUUUAUCUUGAAUUCUGUUGAGGUGGGCGGAAUACAUCAUGUAGCGGUGAAAUGCUUAGAUAUGAUGUAGAACACCGAUUGCGAAGGCAGCUCACUAAACAGACAUUGACGCUGAGGCACGAAAGCGUGGGGAUCAAACAGG